rnacentral:ncRNA from 2 species
CACAAUUUAACCUUUCAGGGUGCAGAGAAUCAAGGUAUGUUAUGCCAAUCUCUCUGAGAAUAGGGAAGUCGGGAUAAGCCCGCGCAGUCUCCACUGCUGUACCGGAGGAGGAACCGGAAGGAUGUCACUGUCCGCAAACGGAUGGGAAGACAUCCGGUUUUGAUGAUGCCGAAGCCAGAAGACCUGCCCUGCAAGGCAAUUGCUC